AUGGCUCACACAAACCUCUUUGCGGGGGAUCUCUUUAUGCAGGCAACAUGCCUAACAUUUGGUGCUGAAAUCCAGGACAGGGGAUCUUCUACAGGAGACCAAACCCCUGUCCUUACUCCUCCUUGUGCUCCCUCUAUGAAGAGAUCUGCCUACAACCUAGGCUCACCAGAUCAGCCCACGGAUCCACUCACCAUCUUUGGAUCAGGACACAGCAAGAAGGUGGCCAUCUCCAAGCGAGGAAGAAGUCCUUUACCAGAACCCAACCAUGCAGGCACCCUGGCUUCUCAUACUUCUAGCCUCCAGAACUGUGAAAAAAAUAAAUUUAUGUUAUGGAAGCCACCCAGUCUAUGGUAUUUUGUUAUAUCAGUAUAAGCUAAUCCACCCAGGAAACUACAC
rnacentral:lncRNA from 13 species